rnacentral:tRNA from 1 species
GGAAAUGUGCCUGAAACACAAGGGCUACUUUGAUAAAGUAGACACGGAGCCCCAAACCACACUCCCACUUCCC